UUAAAAAGCUCGUAGUUGGAUUUCUGUGGGGACGGGGCGGCCGGCCGCAACUCGCGGUUCGAGCUAGCACUUUCCCUACAUCCUGCCGCGAACCGUGCUACCAUUAGUUUGGUGGCGCUGGGGAUCGGCUCGAUUACUUUGAGAAAAAUAGAGUGUUCAAAGCAGGCCACACGCCUUGAAUAAGUUAGCAUGGAAUAAUAACUAAGGACUUCGGUUCUAUUUUGUUGGUGUUCGGGACUGAAGUAAUGAUUGAUAGGGACAGUUGGGGCGGUCAGUAUUCCAAAGCGAGAGGUGAAAUUCUUAGACCUUCGGAAGACUAACAGCUGCGAAAGCGUUCCGCAAGGAUGUUCCCUUUGAUCAAGAACGAAAGUUGGGGGAUCGAAGACGAUCAGAUACCGUCGUAGUCUCAACUAUAAACUAUACCAGCUAGGGAUCGGCCAACGUUAUUUUAUACCGACUUGGUCGGCACCUUAUGAGAAAUCAAAGCAUCUG
rnacentral:rRNA from 1 species